rnacentral:snRNA from 1 species
GGAUGUGAGGGCAAUCUGGCUGCAACAUCUGUCACCCCACUGAUUGCCAGGUUUGAUUCGGCUGAUCCAGCCAGCUAGGUGGGUGUCCUCUUUCUCCUGCACUGCUCCAUGUGCGUUCCUCCUGAAGCUGUGCAAUCAGUCUGAAGAGGAUGACCUUCUUUGAUAGGGGAGGACAGUUCUUUGGUCAAGGGUAUAGGAGUAGCUGUGCUCCCUGCUAGAACGUCCAAAUGACCUCUCCAGUUCCAUUGGUAGGAGAAUGAAGGGUAGUCAAGCUUCCAAGACUUCAGACACAACCAAAUGAGGCACUGCAUAUGGCAGCCUGCCUUUCUUA